rnacentral:lncRNA from 1 species
AAAACAAAAGCAGUAGAUAGAAACAGAGAUGGCCGGGGAGGGAAUGUAAAACCCGGGAACCAAAAACUCCGAUCAAAUCCAAGCGUACAUUAUAUACCAAUUUAGACCAAAACAGCCUUUUCCGGCUGGACCCUCCCCAACAGUUUCCCCGGCCUCCUGUUCUCUAUGAAAAUUGGUGGAUUGGAAUUCGGGUUGAAAGUGACGCAUCGACGCAUAUCAAGUGUUUGAUGAUUUGCUCCUGAGAGGAAAAAGCCAGGGAUUGUUUCUUGUCGAUCAAGUGUUCGGUCAAUUACCCUUAAGAGGAAAGGAAAAGAGGAAAUUGAAUCCGGAAUUUUCUGUACAUGGAUUUUCGGCCGGAGGAUAUAGAAAUGACAAGCUCGGCGGAGACGCCGGGUUAUAUAAGGAGGCCAUUUUCGGUGGUUUCCAAGGCGGAGAACUCCACGGAAGGUUCGGGUGCGGAAAAUUCAUCACCUCCAGCGCCUCCGGCUGAGGGCUCCAGUACCACUCCGCCUGCCGGAGAAGGCGAAGGGUCGGGUUCGGGUACCGGCGCAUCUCCUCCUAGCGACAAUGAUAACGGCAGCGAAGGAAACAACAACAACGAGAAUAAUAACAAUAACAACGAAGGUUCCGGAAAUGCCGCGGCGUCGCCUCCGCCGCCGGAAGAAUCACAAGCCGGAAACAACACCGAAGCGGAGUCGCCUCCGACACCGUCGCCACCACCUCCUUCGACUCCGACACCCAGCACCCCGGCGCAAAAUCCGCCAGCUGAGCAGGACUCAGGGUCGAAUUCCAAUUCCAACUCUAAUUCGAACAAAAAAAAUUCGCCUUCUUCCCCUUCCCCUCCUUCAAAUGAACAAAACGAAUCACCGUCGUCAAGCGACGAUGGUGGCGGCGGAGAAAAGUCCCCUAAACGGAAAUCGCCACCAGAACAAUCAGGGGAGGAAGAAUCCAAUAACAAUGAAGAAUCCACCUCCGGUAAUAACAAUAACGAUAAAGACUCUCCUGGUGCCCCGAAGACAGAGAGACCUGUUACUUCGGGGAUGCCGCAGCAGCAGCAGCCGGCCGGUGCGGGCAAUCCUCCUCCGGCGGCGCUCGGGGCUUCCCCUGGGCGGGGGGGGUGGGAAAUCGCCACCAGAACAAUCAGGGGAGGAAGAAUCCAAUAACAAUGAAGAAUCCACCUCCGGUAAUAACAAUAACGAUAAAGACUCUCCUGGUGCCCCGAAGACAGAGAGACCUGUUACUUCGGGGAUGCCGCAGCAGCAGCAGCCGGCCGGUGCGGUCAAUCCUCCUCCGGCGGCGA